rnacentral:rRNA from 1 species
GAUGAACGCUGGCGGAGUGUAUAAUACAUGCAAGUCGAGCGAACAGACGAGGAGCUUGCUCCUCUGACGUUAGCGGCGGACGGGUGAGUAACACGUGGAUAACCUACCUAUAAGACUGGGAUAACUUCGGGAAACCGGAGCUAAUACCGGAUAAUAUAUUGAACCGCAUGGUUCAAUAGUGAAAGACGGUUUUGCUGUCACUUAUAGAUGGAUCCGCGCCGCAUUAGCUAGUUGGUAAGGUAACGGCUUACCAAGGCGACGAUGCGUAGCCGACCUGAGAGGGUGAUCGGCCACACUGGAACUGAGACACGGUCCAGACUCCUACGGGAGGCAGCAGUAGGGAAUCUUCCGCAAUGGGCGAAAGCCUGACGGAGCAACGCCGCGUGAGUGAUGAAGGUCUUCGGAUCGUAAAACUCUGUUAUUAGGGAAGAACAAAUGUGUAAGUAACUAUGCACGUCUUGACGGUACCUAAUCAGAAAGCCACGGCUAACUACGUG